rnacentral:rRNA from 1 species
CCUACGGGAGGCUGCAGUGGGGAAUAUUGGACAAUGGGCGAAAGCCUGAUCCAGCCAUGCCGCGUGUGUGAAGAAGGCCUUCGGGUUGUAAAGCACUUUCAGUGGGGAAGAAAGCCUUGGGGCUAAUACCCUCGAGGAAGGACAUCACCCACAGAAGAAGCACCGGCUAACUCCGUGCCAGCAGCCGCGGUAAUACGGAGGGUGCGAGCGGUAAUCGGAAUUACUGGGCGUAAAGCGCGCGUAGGCGGUCUGAUAAGCCGGUUGUGAAAGCCCCGGGCUCAACCUGGGAACGGCAUCCGGAACUGUCAGGCUAGAGUGCAGGAGAGGAAGGUAGAAUUCCCGGUGUAGCGGUGAAAUGCGUAGAGAUCGGGAGGAAUACCAGUGGCGAAGGCGGCCUUCUGGACUGACACUGACGCUGAGGUGCGAAAGCGUGGGUAGCAAACAGGAUUAGAUACCCCAGUAGUC